GACGAACGCUGGCGGUGUGCUUAACACAUGCAAGUGGAGCGACGAACCAGAGCUUGCUCUGGGGCAAAGCCGCGAACGGGUGAGUAACACGUGGGUAAUCUACCCCGAUGACCGGGACAACCCGAGGAAACUCGGGCUAAUACCGGAUGUGGUGCGGAGACAUAAGUCUCUUCACUAAAGGUAGCUUCGGCUUCCGCAUUGGGAGGGGCCCGCGGCCCACUAGCUUGUUGGUGGGGUCAAGGCCUACCAAGGCAACGAUGGGUAGCUGGUCUGCUAGGACGAUCAGCCACACUGGGACUGAGACACGGCCCAGACUCCUACGGGAGGCAGCAGUGGGGAAGCUUGCGCAAUGCGCGAAAGCGUGACGCAGCAACACCGCGUGAGGGAAGAAGGCCUUAGGGUUGUAAACCUCUUUCAGAUGGGACGAAGGUUCUCCGGUGAAUAGCCGAGAGGAUUGACGGUACCGUCAGAAGAAGCUCCGGCUAACUACGUG
rnacentral:rRNA from 1 species